GGAAACUUGGUGUAGUUGGUUUGUCACGCAAGAUUGAAGCUCUUGAGGCUGAGGUUCGAUUCCUUGAGUUUCCA
rnacentral:tRNA from 2 species